GACGUAGGGCGCGAGCGUUGUCCGGAUUUAUUGGGCGUAAAGAGCUCGUAGGUGGUUCGGUAAGUCGGGUGUGAAACCUCCAGGCUCAACCUGGAGACGCCACCCGAUACUGCUGUGACUGGAGUCCGGUAGGGGAGCGUGGAAUUCCUGGUGUAGCGGUGAAAUGCGCAGAUAUCAGGAGGAACACCAGCGGCGAAGGCGGCGCUCUGGGCCGGUACUGACACUGAGGAGCGAAAGCGUGGGUAGCAAACAGG
rnacentral:rRNA from 1 species